CCCCGCAGCACUGCCAAUAUUCCUGCGUAAAGUCUAUGAGGUUUUGCAAAUCAAUGUCAUCUCGGUAUGCUCUGAUGUUGUUGUUUAUAAAGAAAUACAGCUGAUCCUUGAUCCAGUCUUUGAAAACAAAUGCUAGAACACCAGCAGUGAGUUCCAAGAAGAAAAUAAUUCCAAGAAACACAGAAAAAAAUUUGAGAAGAAAGGUAUUUUCUCUCAAAGCUCCAAUGCAUCCUGCAAAUCCCAAAAUGAACAUAACUCCUCCUACCACUACGAAGAGCCAAACUGGAUCAAAGCCACCCAGGUCAGUGAUGGAAGAGAUGUUGGACAGCACUCCCUUUUCAUUCCAUGCCCACAAUCCAAUCCCAAGAAAUGCUAUGCCAAGGAACCAGAAGAUGACAUUGAAGCCGAAGAUGAAAUAUUUGAUGCAACAACUGACUUCGGGCCCCUUGUAGUGCUUCCCGGACAUCCUCUGCGCUCAUGAAGACACUUUGCUCGCGGCCAGGAUGAAAACCGAAGAGGGUAGUCCUGCUUGCUCUGUGUAUUGUAUCAGUCUGCAGUCCUCAGGGAAGUUGAUGUUUUUCCACCCAGAAGUAUUAACUUCUUAGAAGAAACUGACUCUGUGCUCCCCCUAAUGCUAGAAAAGGAAAACAGCCUUCUCCUAUAUGUCGUCUAAAAGGAGAUUCAAAAGAAGCUUCAUACACAGAUAUUUCCACACCCCAUGGGAGUUCUUAGCCUUAUAGUAUACCUCCCAGGAUGGCUUGGCCAACAGAAGAAAGAGAAUCUCACCCUCUAGGCACAGCCCUAUGCUACUCUGUGAACUACUACACAGCUGCUGGCUUAGCAUAGAGAAUAGGUCUCAGCUGUGAUUCCAGGAGGAAAUCAUUGGGCCAGCCCCUCAAUAAUGGGAAAGGGGAAACUUUAACUGCUGCUCUACCAAAGGAAAAGAAAAAGAGGAAAAGAAAACCAAACCCAAAACCAAUGUGACCCAAACCUGGAGACACACACGGAAGUUACACUAUGAGGCUUCAGCUACUGAGUGUGUUGAAGACACUCCCAUAUUAACAUGAAAAUAAAGUUUCAUUAAAGGAAAUGAGGUAAGGGUAAAUAUCCCUAGGCAUGCAAUGAAGCAGCCCCACAGAGCAACUGCAGGACAUGCAGCUGGGGCUCCAGCCUCCGUUUACUGGCUCUCCAAGCCCAUGGGAGAUGGUGGGAGCACGGUUACAUGGAGCUGAAAGGCCUUGCUGAGAAGGAGAUGAUCGGACCAUGUAACACACAUACGACUUCUCUCCAUCUGUGGGGUCAGGGUGAGCAGACCAACUAACACUCGUUCUGCCUGUAACACCCUCUGCCAGAAGCACAGAAGUUUCCAGCAAGUUAGUAAGGAAGCAAAGGAAAGGAGGACAGUAGAGACCUCUUCCUUACUCACUGCACUGAGUGGAGUCUUAAAAUCCCCAGUCUGUUUCAAUCACAAGCCAAAAUGAGCAGCUCUGCUGUUAACACAGUAGAGGGAAGAAGAGAAUUGAUGGGGCAGUUGCUGGGGAGCAGGUAGAAGAUGAUGGAUGGUAGCACAGGACACACUGUUGCUAACCUUCUCCCCAUCCCAAACAGGAUGAUAUCUGUCUGUCUCCAUUCCCAUCCAGUCCAGCCUUCACCUAUCUCAUUCCGGCAGCCAGGAGGCUGGGCCAGAAAAGCUUAUUGAGUGGACGAGACACUGUGCCUUUGGCAAUGGAGACAGCUUGCUGCUGGGCAUUUCUCACACAUCUGCUCCAGAGCCACAUGCUCUGGGCACCUUCUGAGCUCUGCUGCCACCAGCUGAGAGAAAACAAACAUUCUUAUGCUGUUUUGGUUAAUUUUAAACCAGUGAAAGCUGAUUAUUUCUUAGGAAGCUUAAUCUGUGGCUGCUGUCUAAAUUUAAAGGGAAAAUGUCGGUGUUCUGCUUUAUAUAACAGAGAAAAGGAGUAAAUGGGAGGAAAAUAGAAGAAAAAGAAAAUCACAGAUGAGAGCUGUCCAUUUUUAUCCUUUUUCUUCCAACUAUCACUGUAGCCAAGAGCUUAAAUGCAAGUGCUCUAAAGCUCUUAGCAAAGUGUGGUCAGCUGUGUGCUAUCAACACUCCCCUCCUGCAGCUAACCCACUUGCACGCUGAAAAAAAAAAAACAUCCCUGAAUGUCCAAAGCAGUAAAUUUCAAAAGCAGGAGCAGCAGCCAAUAGAAAACCGUGGAAACUCUGAUACUUGUGACAUCAGAGAACAAAGGUUCAGCAAUACAUGUCACGCUGACUGCAUCAAGCCAUUUGCAAGAGAUGUACUUUGACCCCAAAUCCCAUUUCUUCACAUUUCGGUGUAUUAACUGAGUCAGAGCUCCCUCCCACAUACCUAUCUUCUAUCUCCAUUAGUACAUGGCAUUCUGCCACACAGGGAACUAAAUACGUUCACCCUCUUCAUCGGGUCACACAACAGCCCCAGCCGUUCCUGAAGCUGAGCAGUUCCCUGCUGCUGCUGCCACCCAAGUCUCACACAGGCUGAAGCUGUUUCAGAGGCAGCAGACCUCAAAGUCAUAUUGAACAAAACCGAUCCAUUCCUCCUGUGAAAAUUACCCUGGAAAAGACAAGAGCGGGCAAGAAUGGUCUGCAGGUCUCCUAAAACAAUUUGAUGUGAGGAGCAGAGCUGGACUGAAAUGAGGGCAAUGUGAGGAGGUUGUCCACAUCCUUGCAGGCAGGGGACUUGAGGAAGGAUGGAACCUUAUCUGCAGCUGUUGCCUAUCUUGGCCCUCUAACAACAAGACCAGAGAGAAAAGAGUAAUACCUGCACUCUGAUUCCCCUUCUUCUGAAGAUGGCAAUCCCUCAGAUUUUCAGAUUGUUUUCAUAUCUCCCCCAUGUACCAUCACAGCAAAUAUUUGCAGGACAUGCAGCAAUUCUCUGUUUGACCUGUACUGAGCGGUUUCCUCCUUAGACUCAGAUCCUCCAUUCAGUCUCUCUUUUUUUCCCUAUUCUUUGCCCAUUACUGCAAGGUUGAAUGGCACUCUUGAAUCCCUUUGAAUUUGAUCUACAGGAAAAUGUUUAACAAGCACGAGUUCUGGCAAAAUGGCACCAGCACAGCCUUGUAGGUCUAUAUAACCCCUAAGUGAAAAAGCUUAUGCCAAUCCCGGGGGGUUUAAAAUCAGUCUCUGAAACAGAGUUGAAUAGAGUUAACGGGACCAGCAGCAAUGUGGGUCCAGCCGUACUCAGUCUUGGUGCCUCACACAGGGGUGUGGAUGCGUAUCCUAGAACAGGCAAGAACUCUUCGAAGAACUAUUUGAUAAGUAUCACCCAGACAGGUCUGGAACGAGAUUGAUAGCAUUGUUGUUUGUGGCACAGAGCCAAGGAGUGUCCUUGCGGGCUUCCAAGCCAAGCCAGUGGUUCUGAUGAGAGUGAGAUCAUAAGCACAUCCGAAGCUUCAUGCCAUGGAGUGACAAGAAAAGAAAUCUACUGCAGAUAGACACCAUCAUCAGUAAGACGGUCUUGUAAAGGUUCAUAAGUUUCCAAGUGGUUUCCUUUAAGCCAUAUUUCUUUAAUCUGGAGUGGCAUGGGGCUGCCCCAGGAGCUAUGCUCCCCUGCAGACAUCCACACCUUCUCAUCCUCAGUGCAGCUGCCUUGUUAUCAGCAGGGCCCACAGAACUGCCUGCAGGGCAGCAGGCUGGUCACGUUAUCUGGCUGCCUUAGCUGUCUCUUUCUGACAUAUAGCAUGUGUCCUUCCCUUGCAAGGAAGGGCUAACCCUUACUUGAAACGGUAAGACAAGUCUAGCAGUAACACCAGUCAGACCCAACGAAUACAUCUAAAGGGAAACCUGGCAGUGUCAGGCAGCCAGGUGAGUCUGAAACCUGUACUCCGUUAGGUAAUACUGCCUGACAGAAGCUGCAGAUCAGGUCUAUUACCCACUGUGUGUUCGUAGGCUGUCUGGAGUCACAAGCACGGUGCAAGCCUCUGGCAGUGAGAAAGAGGGGUAGCCUGAGUUACCCCACAUACAGUGAGGUAACUGGUUCAGGGGAGGUGGGGGCAACCCAGCUGUAGUUCUAGCAAGAGCUGACAGGAUGAAGCAACUGACUGAUACCAGGAAGUGCUUAGUUCUGCAUAACUCACAUUAAAGCACAAACUGUUCUGUACUGGAUAGAAUAUGAGCCAUCACAUGCAAUAACACAUCUCUUCUCUCAGCCAAGUGUGUACCCACAGAGUCAGAGGACAGGAAGCACAUCCUUCUCCUGUUAGGGAAACCCGUCCAAAGAUAUGGAAGAUACAUCGCUGUGUCAUUUUUUCCACAGGGCCACAUCCUGUGGCAGAUAAAUACUUGCAGGGAGCCAUCCUGGGAUGGAUACCAUAGACUAUUGCUUAGGGAAAUACACAUUAUGAUUUCAUGUCCCGCUGGCCUCGCGUGGGCAUGUUUUAACCUGACUGGUAGCAAGAAGACAAGUAUGAGCUCACCCACAUGCAUGGCACCUGCAUUUCAGUAGUGGGGUGUACACCUUCCCAGAGUCCCUUCAAAGCAAUAGCGGCCAAUGCAAGAAGGACUAAAUCACACGUAAGGAGAAUUAUAAAGCAACAAAAAGAAAGGAGAACAAUUCCUAAUGGCGAUGAGAAUUUGGUCAGACCAUCGGUGGUAUCUGACAGCAGAGCAACAGCUCGGACGGUUCCAGCAAAGCGUUAGGCAUGGAGUCAAAACGCCAGGGCCCCACCUGCUGUACCAGGAAGGACGUACACCCAACAGGGCCCUUCUCUCACAGCUUGGCGGCAGGCCCGGCACGCACAGAGCUGGGACGACCUUACCUCCCGCAUGGGUGGAUGCUCGUUGUCUUCUAUCCUGAAAGAUUUCUAUCUCCUUACCCUGCGACAGUAACAAAAUUACAUUUAAAAGCUAUUAUUCUGAAGGCCUAAUAUUUUAUGGUCCUACGGAGGCAGUAGGAGGGACACUCAUUGAGUUUCCCCUACUGGUAAAACUUGUGCUUCAACUGAAUUUGUCUGGGAAGGAAUUAAGUUUCAUUUCAGUAGACAGUAUGAUACUUCUAAGCCUGAUAAGACAUUUCUUUGGCAAAGAAAAAUCAUCUAAUAAUCCCACCUGGGAAAGCUGCAGAUUGGGUCCAGGCUUUUCCUCCUCUGCAGACACUGACUUGAUCAAACAUGGAAACCUGAAAUUCAGGCUCAGCAGCAGAAGAGAUAUCUAAGAGGAAGCAGAUGAGAGGUUUUGUACAUAUCAGUAUUUAUCAUUAGCAGCAGUUCCUUCCUUUUUGGAUGUCCACCAUUAAUUGAUUUAUUCUGGAACAAUCAAAACGAUCUAACAAAAAUAAACAAAAAUGCCUUCCUCUUAAGUGGAUCCAUCCUUCAUUCUUUGGAAUCCACUUUUUUUUUUUUUUUUUUUCCUUCAGAUUUCCAAGUCCAACCAUUGUCCUCCAGGAUAGGCAAAAUGUUAAUCUGUGAGGUAAAAAAAAAAACAAAAACAGAAAAUAAAAAUAAAAAUCAAAGCAUCCUCACCUGUUGCUCUCACUUCAGUCUUCUUUCCUGUUGCAGAGAUCAGCCGAAAAACAAGAUCCAGCUGGAAGCACUUAUUCCUUUGAAAGCCAACUUUAUAAGAAAGAGCUACAGCAGCUACCUCAAACACCUGUAAAGUGGGUUGCUUC
rnacentral:lncRNA from 1 species